rnacentral:rRNA from 1 species
GAUGAACGCUGGCGGCGUGCCUAAUACAUGCAAGUAGAACGCUGAAGGAGGAGCUUGCUCUUCUGGAUGGGUUGCGAACGGGUGAGUAACGCGUAGGUAACCUGCCUGGUAGCGGGGGAUAACUAUUGGAAACGAUAGCUAAUACCGCAUGACAACAGUUAUUGCAUGAUAACUGUUUAAAAGGGGCAACUGCUCCACUACCAGAUGGACCUGCGUUGUAUUAGCUAGUUGGUGAGGUAACGGCUCACCAAGGCGACGAUACAUAGCCGACCUGAGAGGGUGAUCGGCCACACUGGGACUGAGACACGGCCCAGACUCCUACGGGAGGCAGCAGUAGGGAAUCUUCGGCAAUGGACGGAAGUCUGACCGAGCAACGCCGCGUGAGUGAAGAAGGUUUUCGGAUCGUAAAGCUCUGUUGCAAGAGAAGAACGAGUGUGAGAGUGGAAAGUUCACACUGUGACGGUAUCUUACCAGAAAGGGACGGCUAACUACGUG